rnacentral:rRNA from 1 species
UACGUAGGGUGCGAGCGUUAAUCGGAAUUACUGGGCGUAAAGCGUGCGCAGGCGGUUUUGUAAGCCAGAUGUGAAAUCCCCGGGCUUAACCUGGGAAUGGCAUUUGGGACUGCAAGGCUGGAGUGUGGCAGAGGAGACUGGAAUUCCCGGUGUAGCAGUGAAAUGCGUAGAUAUCGGGAGGAACACCCGUAGCGAAGGCGGCACUCUGGGCCGGUACUGACGCUGAGGAGCGAAAGCGUGGGGAGCAAACAGG